AAGCCAUGAUGUGGAUAUUUAUAUAAAAACUCCCAAAAAUGUUCCUAAGUUUUAUAUAAAGACUCUUCGUCCUGUUGAAAAAAUCUAGUUAUACCCAUACAGAGUUU